GAAUUGCGAUAAGUAAUGUGAAUUGCAGAAUUCAGUGAAUCAUCGAAUCUUUGAACGCACCUUGCGCUCCCUGGUAUUCCUAGGAGCAUGCCUGUUUGAGUGUCAUGAAUUCCUCAAAUCCCAAUGUUUUGCAAAAUUCAUUGCUUGGAUUU
rnacentral:rRNA from 6 species